UUGAUCAUGGCUCAGGAUCAACGCUGGCGGCGUGCCUAAUGCAUGCAAGUCGAACGGCCGAGCUUCGGCUCGGCCGUGGCGAACGGCUGAGGAACACGUGCGUGACCUGCCCUGCCGUGGGGGAUACCGGGUGGAAACACCCGCUAAGACCGCAUACGCUCCGUACGGUGGCCGUGCGGAGGAAAGCCGCAAGGCGCGGCAGGAGGGGCGCGCGGCCCAUCAGGUGGUUGGCGGGGUAACGGCCCACCAAGCCGAUGACGGGUCGCUGGUCUGAGAGGACGGCCAGCCAGACUGGGACUGAGACACGGCCCAGACACCUACGGGUGGCAGCAGCAAGGAAUCUUCGGCAAUGGGCGCAAGCCUGACCGAGCAACGCCGCGUGGAGGACGACGGCCUUCGGGUUGUAAACUCCUUUUCGUGGGGACGAGAGGGACGGUACCCACGGAACAAGCCCCGGCUAACUCUGUGCCAGCAGCCGCGGUAAGACAGAGGGGGCAAGCGUUGUCCGGAUUUACUGGGCGUACAGCGCGCGCAGGCGGCCCGAUAGGAACCCGGUGACAGUCUCCCGCUCAAUGGGAGGAGGACUGGGUUGACCGGCGGGCUGGAGGCCGUGAGAGGGUGAUGGAACGCCCGGUGGAGCGGUGAAAUGCGUAGAGAUCGGGCAGAACACCAGUGGGGAAGCCGGUCACCUGGCACGGACCUGACGCUGAGGCGCGACAGCGUGGGGAGCAAACGGGAUUAGAUACCCUGGUAGUCAAGGGCGAAUUCGUU
rnacentral:rRNA from 1 species